rnacentral:rRNA from 1 species
AUUGAACGCUGGCGGUAUGCUUAACACAUGCAAGUCGAACGAUGAGAAAGAGCUUGCUCUUUCGAUUAGUGGCGGACGGGUGCGUAACGCGUAGGAAUCUGCCUAUUAGUGGGGGACAACUUAGGGAAACUUAAGCUAAUACCGCAUACGCCCUACGGGGGAAAGGAGGGGAUCGCAAGACCUUUCGCUAAUAGAUGAGCCUGCGUAGGAUUAGCUAGUUGGUGGGGUAAAGGCUCACCAAGGCGACGAUCCUUAACUGGUUUGAGAGAAUGAUCAGUCACACUGGAACUGAGACACGGUCCAGACUCCUACGGGAGGCAGCAGUGGGGAAUAUUGGACAAUGGGCGAAAGCCUGAUCCAGCAAUACCGCGUGUGUGAAGAAGGCCUUAGGGUUGUAAAGCACUUUCAAUUGGAAGGAAAAAUUCGUGGCUAAUAUCCGCGAACUUGACAUUACCUUUAGAAGAAGCACCGGCUAACUCCGUGCCAGCCGCCGCCGUAAUAC